CCCUUAGAUGUUCUGGGCCGCACGCGCGCUACACUGAAUGGAUCAACGUGUUUUCCCUUCCCGAGAGGGACGGGUAACCCGCUGAACCCCAUUCGUGGUAGGGAUCGGAGCUUGCAAUUGUUCUCCGUGAACCAGGAAUUCCCAGUAAGCGCAAGUCAUAAGCUUGCGUUGAUUACGUCCCUGCCCUUUGUACACACCGCCCGUCGCACCUACCGAUUGAAUGGUCCGGUGAAGCCUCCGGAUUGGCGCGCACCUCGGUGCCGCCGAGAAGUUGGCUAAACCUUACCAUUUAGAGGAAGGUGAAGUCGUANCA
rnacentral:rRNA from 1 species